GUCUACGGCCAUGCUACCCUGAACAGUCUCGAUCCCGUCUGAUCUUGGAAGCUAAGCAGGGUCGGGACUGGUUAGUACUUGGAUGGGAGACCACCCAGGAAGACCAGGUGCUGUAGACG
rfam:Pteropus alecto contig75829, whole genome shotgun sequence.